UUGCACCAUCUUAGCAUAUUUGUUUCAUCCAUCCUCAUGUCACCCACUUGAGAAUGUCUUUUUCUGCCAAAUCUCAUUAUCGGUUAAGGCAAAAUCUUUAAACCCCAUGAGUCCCACCCUUAAAUUUGGCUCAUAGCGCUGACCUCUCUAUCAUUUGAGGUACUACGUUGACCUCCCUUAUAUUGAUAUUUUAUAGCCAAAUUAAUUUAAAUGAUAAAUUGUCUAUAUAUCGUAACACUACCCUUGUCAUCUUUAGUUUUGAAGCAAAUAUAAACCUCCUUUUCUCAAUGUGGGACCCAAUAAACAAAUCAAAAUAAAAGAAAAAAAUUAGAGAAGCAAAUAAUGGUACCAAAGAGAGAAAGUAGGCGCCAAGUGCAAGUUGAAUGCAAUUUGCUUACAAAGUGCUUGUUAUAUUUUAGUUAUGAUUGAUUGGAGAAAGGAAUCUUUCCUAUAAAUAGAGGAGACGUCCCUCGCACAGAGAUAGGCAACAGAGAGCAGAAAGAGAGAGAAUCUAUGGAGAGAAUGACAUAACGUCACCCUAACUUAUUCGACUUUUGUAAAAAGAUGUUUACACUAUGCGGGCAUCCUAUGUCCCUCUUAAACGAUUGUGAAUUGUUAUUAUUACAUCAUUUUUGGAUCAAUUCCAAUUUUUAUAAGUGAUAAACAUCCACCAAUUAUUGAUUGCCACAUGUUUAUUAAAUAAUAUAUAUAUAUAUAUCCUUUAAAUUUUUCUCUUUUUGUUCACUAGAUAAAAUAGAUAAUUUUUAAUUAAUGGCAAAUCAUCGGCGAAUGCUGCCAAUGGCAAAACAAAAUUGUCAAAACGUCGAUCAAAUUUCGACGAGAUUUGUGGUGAUUACACCACUGGGGUUUGUUCGUGAUCCUCAGAUGUACCGCCCCAAGGAAUUUCAGUCGAUCCUAUCGACAAAAACUCCGGCGAACUACUGUCUCUGGUUGUCGACGAAGCUACAGUGGGGCUGAUGGAGGGGGACCACUGCCAAAAUAGGCGCAGAAUCACUGCGAGCAAACCCGACCAAGAAAAAAUGAUUCGUUCAGGAAAAUUUCCAUCAGUCAUGUCCAUUAAGGUACGCGACUUUCAAGAUUGAGGAAGAUGCCCCAAGACUGUUUCAAGCAGGUCUGCAUGAAUAUCUUGGCCUGUACAACGCGCAGACUUCCAUACAUCAAGACAAUCAGUGGGGAGUAACUGUUCUUUCUGUUUCAGCCAGUAAAUUAGUAGCUAUACCAUCAGGUCCCGACUGACACCAUUCAAACAAGCAUAGGAGACCUCAAGACCAUGAUGUGAGAGCAAAAAGUGAAUGAAAAUUUAUUGUAUAGGAAAUAUUGAGGACUUUACCAUGAAGACAUCUUAGGAGUGACUUUGAAAAAUCAGUUUCAAACUCAUAACAAGACUUUAUCAAUUCCGACCUCAAUGGGCUUGUCUAGAAAGAACUUUUAUUGAGUGUUUUCCUAUGGAAUUGACAAAGUUGGAUGGUUUUUCAAAA